UUCAGUAUCUGAAGAACUCUGAAACCCUAAACACCAAAUAGAACCGAAAACCCAUUCCUUUCCUAUUCCCUUUCUCUUGAACGGUGUCAUUCCAAAUCUCUCUCACUUUCUCAGCGACCUGUCUCUCACUCGCCAUCGCCGUCUCAGCGACCUUUCUCUUAUCCCUCUCACUCGCCGUCGCCGUCUCACUCUCAAUCUGAAUCUGUCACCCCUGCGACCCACGACUUCCUCCCUCUCGCCGUUUCAAGGCUCAAGUCUCGACCCACAAAUUCCCUCAUUUGCAAGCACAAGUGGACGAAUAAUUGAUCCAUAUCGUAGUUCUUUGAGUCCAAAAAUGGUAGAGGCUUUGAUAUGUACACAAAAUUGGCUUAGGUCAAUUCAUGUAGCAUUACAUCAUGAGCCAACCAUUGAGGAGAUUGAGUUUUGUGAAGAAGUUGAGAAAGAAAUGGCAAGGAGAAGCUCAAAGAAAGGUGCUAUGUUGCCUCCUAGGCCGCCUAUGCGUUGAGCUUGAGCUUGAAGACUUGGAAGAUUUUAUUUGUGCAAGACAUGAAGUGAUGAAACCUUGAAGGUUUAUUUGACUUGUGUGAUGUUUAAAUUUGGACUUUUUGAAGACUUAAACUUUGAUGUUUAAUUUGGACUUUUUGAAGACUUAAACUUGAUUGAUGAUUGAUUCUAUUUCUAGUUGGACUUUAAAUGUUUA